rnacentral:rRNA from 1 species
GACGUAGGGCGCGAGCGUUGUCCGGAUUUAUUGGGCGUAAAGAGCUCGUAGGCGGCUUGUUGCGUCGACUGUGAAAACCCGCGGCUUAACUGCGGGCUUGCAGUUGAUACGGGCAGGCUAGAGUUCGGUAGGGGAGACUGGAAUUCAUGGUGUAGCGGUGAAAUGCGCAGAUAUCAGGAGGAACACCGGUGGCGAAGGCGGGUCUCUGGGCCGAUACUGACGCUGAGGAGCGAAAGCGUGGGGAGCGAACAGG